rnacentral:tRNA from 1 species
AGAAACUUAAGUUAUGUUAAACUAGAGGCCUUCAAAGCCCCCAAAAAAGCCACACUUUAGUUUCUG